GACAGAGGGUGCAAACGUUGUUCGGAAUUACUGGGCGUAAAGCGCGUGUAGGCGGCUAAGUAAGUCGGGCGUGAAAUCCCACGGCUCAACCGUGGAAGUGCACUCGAAACUGCAUAGCUAGAGUCCUGGAGAGGAAGGUGGAAUGCUUGGUGUAGAGGUGAAAUUCGUAGAUAUCAAGCGGAACACCGGUGGCGAAGGCAGCUCGCUGGGACGGUACUGACGCUGAGGAGCGAAAGCGUGGGUAGCAAACAGG
rnacentral:rRNA from 1 species